rnacentral:lncRNA from 1 species
GCCAAACACUUAAAAUACAAUUGGAUUCUAAUCGAAAAUUUUGACAAUCACUUCUCCAUUUACAUUAUGACUUGGAAGCUUAAAAAACCAGCUCUCCACCGCUUUCCGUUACCCUCCAUUCAUCUUUCACAGGAAACACUUUAGAAUUGAUUCUCACCUGCUCCCCACCUUACUCCACACCAGAAUCACUCUGUCAAAGAAUCA